UGCACAGGUGACUGGAGGAAACACCUACCUCCAGCUAUGUGCUGGAAAAACAGCGGACCCUUGCUCCAUGCACCAAAACUGGGACAGCACGUAGGUGAGGGGAUAGAGGAGGCUGAACUGGCUAAUGUAGCCCCUCACUGUCAGACAAACUCCAGGCUCCCAGUACCCCUGAGUGGCCAGAGCGACUUCUCCAAGCUACAGAUGCUGAUAGUUGGGACUAUGGAGGGGUAGGAAAAAGUACUUUCCCUUAGCUCCUACAUGCAAAUAUUCCUAUAGCCUGGUUAGCAAGUCUGGCGUUUGACCCCAGUGCCAAGACAGAGCUGGCAGUAUUAGCAGGUGAGAGCUCAACGUCCUCAGCAAUGAAGUAAUAGUUUAAAGAAGUAAUAGUUUAACAGUUUGAAGAGGAGUCUAAGAGUUCAACAUACGUUUCAAGGAAGAUUAAAUUUGGCUCUUACAAAAAACUUGGGCAAUAGGUUGAAUAAAAUUAGAGAUUAUCAUUCUCAUGUAACAGGAAAUUCAGUGGUAGGCAUUUCAGGGCUCGCUUGAUUAUUCAAAGAUCUUAUCCAAAACCCAGGCUCCUUUUAACUUCCUUAUAGCUUUUUGGUUGCAAGAUGGCUAUGAACUUAGGACAAAAACAUCAUGUUAUUGCCCCAGAAUGAAGGAGGAGGCGAGACAAAGGGCAAAAGAUAAAGGGUGAAAAGACUUGUACUUACAUCUUCUUGAUCAGGAUUAUUUCACAGACUUAUGCCACCUUUAGGGGGAAGGAGAGCAGAGAACUCCAGUAUUUAGCUAACAUCUAUCACAUAUAUUACAGAGGAAGAUGGAGGAUUAGGGAGUUGCAAUGAUUGUUGAAUCAGCUGACCACAAGAUAAAGACAGGGAGAGGUCAAACAGAAUAUCAAGCACAGAACAUCAAAGACCACCUGUAACUGUAAGAUGACCAAUAACACAAAAGAGGACCUGAUUAACUCCAAGAAGAUCUAAUGAUCUUGAUUUAUUUAAAGCCAAUGCUUUAUUAAAUGUGCAUGGUAUGCCAUAACAAUAAUUAGUAGCAGUCCACCACAAAGGUGACCUAAGAAGAUCUGAUUUCAUAUUUCCUUCUUGUAAUUUAGAUAACUGUCUUCCCUCCCUAAAUUAUUUCUGCUUAUUCAUCCUCUGUUAAUCUCAUAAUCCUAUGCCAUCUUAAAUACAUCCUAAAUAGCAUCAUACCUUGAGUACUCCAGAAAGCACUCAAAAUUGUUAGGGCAGUAAAAGUUCUGACUUUAACAUGCUUCACAUGCAGUGCUCACAGAUAAAGGGAGUUUGGACACUACAAUAGCAUCAUUAAUCCAGUUACUGAAAAGCUGAGACUAUAUUAUAUCUGCAAGGGUGUAAGUAUAUCUCAUCACAGAGCUAGAUACAGAAAUACAAAGCACACGUGACCAGCGGAUGCUGGAGACUAGUGGGCAUGUCCACUGGAGUGGGGCAAGCACCAUGGUGUAUGUGGGAAGAGGCGGUUACAGGCAAUGUGUGGGAGCCAGCAAGGGCAUCCCAGAGGGCAGUAGUUCUUGAAGUUUGGCUCCUGAAUAAACAAUAUCAGCAACUCCUGGAUAUGGUUAGAAAUGCAAACUUACUCCUGCCUUGGGGUGGGGUUUAAAGGACUCUAGACUCAAUGGAAAAUAAAGUGAGAGCUGAGUAAUUUGUGGUCUCUGAGGUGAGCAGAAGAUGAUAAAAAGGAACUUGAGUAAAACUUCUGAGACUUGGUAAUAGCGACGAAGCCAAAGCUUAAUUGUUCUCUGAGGAACAAAAUGUAGAAAGGGACUGCUAUCAAUGGUGACUUGCAGCCAUUUCCUAGGACCAUAGGAAUAAAUCUCCUUGAAUUUCCCCUAAACAAUCCAGGCAGCAUAUUUGAAUUACUUGGGUUAUUUGGGUUGUUUUAUUUAUUUAUUUAUUUAUUUUGAAACCCAAACCAACCAAAUCAGAAUUUCUGAGGGAGGUUCCCAGGUUUUGGUAAUUUUUGGAAUCUUGCCAAAUGGUUCUAAUGUACACUGCCAAGGUUGAAAACAACUGUGUGAGGAUUCUCUGAGAAUCAGCUACUUUGGUUUGGGGACAUGUAGAGCUAUGGAGACAGGGUGUUAUAGCAAGGAGCUAAAUGACUACUGUUUUGUUCUCACCUGUAAAUUGGAGAGAAUAAUAGCACCUGCCUGGCACAUGCCAGAGAUAAUAUAUAGAGAACACUUGGAGGAGUUUCUGGUUCCAAAUACAUUUUCAGUAAAUGUCUGUGGGUCCUUCUUAUGAUAAUGUAAGCUCCAUAGGAAUGGGGACGAUUGGUGACAUUAACCUGGCACCAAGGGCAUCAGAAAGCAUACAGUCCACAAAGAAUAAAAAUUUGUUAGCUAAACAGAUGGGUAUUUCCACUUUGGGGGGUUAAAAGUACAAGUUAAGUAUAUUUUUUCACCUUCCAUUAUCACAGAGAUGGAAUAAAGACAGAUGAGCUUAAGUUCAUAAAACCUAUUUUCCAUGCUUCUUAAAAAAUUUUUGCCUAGAACUGUGCUGACCAUGCAUAGCCACUAUGCACAUGUGGCUGCUGGACACUUGCAUUGUGGCUAGUCCAUAUUGAAAUGCGCUAGAAGUAUAAAAUACACAAAGGAUUUUAGAGGCUGUGUAGGAAAAAAAGAAUAUAAAAUAUCUGAUUAAAAAUUUUAAAAAUGAUUUUAUUUGAAAUGCUAAUAUUUUGGACAUUGGAUUAAAUAUAAUACAUUAUUAAAAUUGGUCUCCCCUGUUACUUCUCCUUUGUUAUGCAUACGGUGCUAGGAAAAUUUUAAAUCACAUGUGUGGCUUGCACUUUUGGCUCAUCUUGUGUUUCUGUUGGACAGUAUUGGUCUACAAGUGGACAGCACUCUAAAGUUUCUGUUGCAUUUGAUGAUUGUGACACAGGGAACAAUUACUAGGAAGACAAUGAAGUCAGCGAGGCCCUGAUAUUCUGACUCGGAGUGGCCCAGUUCUAACUGUAUCCAAUUAUAAGAAAAGUACAAAGGUAUGAAAACACAGAAAACCAAAGCAGUAGGUUUUAUGAAGUCAGUCGUCUAAUCUUAGCACAUCCCUGACCUUGAAAAUAGUUUUCAUCUGACCUCAGUUGAGUGCCCACGUAGCUAUGGGUGUGUGAUCCAUUCUAGGCCUUUGGCAAGGAAUUAUUGAUUGCGUAUUGUUUCUCUAAAACAUCUAUAUCAACACGGUUACUUUAACAGCUGUGUUUCUUAAUCUGUUUAUAACCAUGGUAAUAUUCUUCAUGAAAUUUGCUUUUCACUAUCUAAAGAUUUUUACUAAAUGACAUUCUGCCAAUAUAUUAGAUGUAUUGAUAUAUUAUCAACAAAACUUCUCCCUUCUGUCCAAGAAUUUAAAGUGCCAGAAACUUUUUCAAUUGAAUCAUUGAUAAAGAUGUGCGUGUUUGUGUGUGUGUGUGUGUGGCACGUGAGUGAAACAGUGUGCCUUGCAUACUGUACAAGAGCAUGAAAAAUAAAAUAGUGCAUUAUCUGAUUCAUUAUUUCCCUGCACUCCUACUUAUUAUUAAAGAUUGUAGGUUUUUAAAUUAGUAUUAAAUUAAUUGAGUGGGAGGACUUUAGAAUCACAGUGUGUUGGAUACUGAUAAAAAAUAAGCUUUGAAAAUGCAUUAUGGAAAGAACCUACUUCUCUUUCCAUCUCUACUUUGUAGGUAACAGGACAUGAAACAAAGUGUUAAUAACAAUUUAAUGCUCAGUAAUGGCAAGAAGAGACAACAUAUCAUUAUCCCGCUGCAAUAGAAUUAUCAUUCAGGAAGACUUUCGUAACGAAGCAUAUAUCCAUCACUCUGUUCGUUUUGUUCAUGGAGGGAAGCCCUAUGCAUGAAACUUGCUGUUAAAGAUCUUUUUAGAUUAAGCAAAUAAUUUGAUGUGCCUUGAAAUAUAAGUGGUGAACUUAGGAACUCAUUUUCUCAGAUGCAAACUAGAAAUCUAUGCUUUUAAACUAAAAAGUAAAAUGAAAUAACUUCCUGGCCUGGUAUCCUGCAAGAUACACUCUCGAUUAACCCAUUUUUAAAUUGGCUCUAUUUUCUUAUAGCACACUUUUCAAUUUUAGUCAAGUCUUAUUGACCAUCCCUUCUCUGCUUGCUCUAAGGAAUUUGGAUUUUAUGCCAAGAUCAAAAAGAGUUCCAUAAAAAUUUCACAUGACCACAAUGGGGAGAGAGUGAAACUAGGACCCAGGUGAGACCCUAAACUUAUAAUGCUGUAGGUGGGACAGAGAAAAGGGACAGAUUCUAUAAAUAUUAAAAAAUAUAACUAUUUUCUAUUUCUACCAGUAUGGAAGACUGGAUAUUCUGAAAAACCAUACCGCAAAAGAUAACUAAUAAUCUAGGCAAAAUUUUUGAAAAGUAAGAUCAAAUUUUAGUAUAUAAGUGAUGUGGUAAAAACAACAACAACAAGUUAGACUCAACAGAGGCCAAAAAAUGAGGUGAAAUCUAGAACUCUGGGAGGUAAGCUAGUGCCUACCUUACUCUGAUGAUAUCUGCCAAACCCUGUGACCUUGAGUUUUAGUUUCAAUAGUGGGAGCAUGUGUGAGGGACUCAACAUACAGCCUACAUCCAGAAACAAAUGUGGAAUCGAAUACAACUCCCCUACAGAAAGCUGGGGCCCCAAGAUUCCAUGGACAGUGUCAGGCCGCCCAGCAGAAGUGACCAGCAGAAGGGACCAACCUCUCUUGAUCAUACUGCUGGAAAAAUAUCGAAAAAUUCUCCCUUGAGAUGUCACAGUGCAAUCCUUCCAUUGUGUGAGGCUGUUGCACAAAUUCAUGCCAACUCAUGCAAAGAGAAUCCAGAUUAGUGGUUCUCCUGGGAAUAAGGAGAAAUAAACUAGGGUCCCCUUUAGAGAAUGCACUUCAACCUGGUGUCAAAGAAUUCUAUAAACAGCACAUUCCAAAGAACGUAAGUUCAGAUUUAAAGUUAUAACAAAAAAACAAACCCUUGUAUGUCUCCAUAUAAGUGUCAGUAAAAACAACAGAAACCCAUGAAAAUGUGUAAACUGUAAGAGUAAAAUUUAAAUAUCAUUAAUAGAUUGGAAUGAAUAAAAGAGACAUUUAGACGGAUG
rnacentral:lncRNA from 1 species